rnacentral:rRNA from 1 species
UACGGAGGGUGCAAGCGUUAAUCGGAAUUACUGGGCGUAAAGCGUGCGCAGGCGGUUUGUUAAGUCUGUUGUGAAAUCCCCGAGCUCAACUUGGGAAUUGCAAUGGAUACUGGCAGGCUGGAGUAUGGUAGAGGAAGGUGGAAUUCCCGGUGUAGCAGUGAAAUGCGUAGAGAUCGGGAGGAACACCAGUGGCGAAGGCGGCUCUUUGGUCUGUAACUGACGCUGAGGCGCGAAAGCGUGGGGAGCGAACAGG